GGGGAGGGGGGGUGUUGGCACUUGUGUCGGAAAUAAAUUUUUAACCCCAAUAUAUAAAGAUAACAGUUGAGUUAAUAUUAUACCAUAUAGAUUCAAAAAGUAUUUCCGACACAAGUGUGUGUAUGUGUUUGUGUAAGGUUGUGUUACAGGUGUGUGUUUGGGAAAGGGGGGUGCUCUAACUGUUAGCACCCUCUUCACCUCAUCCAUUUUUUUUUCAUACAUUCUUAAAAAAGUAAAUUUUCUAGACUUAGAUUAUAAGCUCUAUGUCUAUCUUUCAAAAUGUCAACUUGGAUUUGGAUUUUUUCCGGCUAAAAAUGGUCCGUAGCUUUUAUCAGGAUCGGUUUUGUUUUUAUCGGACGAAACUGUACGUCAUGUUUGACGUCAUCAGCUGUAACAGAAAUUGAAAACACAGUGAAGAAGGAUUUAUCAAGUCUCUGUUAAAAGUAAGUUUUUUGUAGUCUUUGUAAUAUUACGUUUUUGAGAGUUUCAUAAUUUCAGAGGUCCCUAAAUGUUUGAACUUUAUGUACAGCAACAUAACGCAUAAUUACUCAACAGUCCUUGCAGGUUAGUGUGUAGUAGGCCUAGGCUGUGAACGACGUGCCAGAUCUCUGCUAUGUUGUAUAUUUGUAUAUCAGCAUAACUAUUUUUAUUACGUCUAUUUAUUGUUCAGUUUGUUAAAUUUUUUUGAACACUGAAGCCUACCGGUACAGCUGUACUGCCGCCCUACGUACUAUACGGAGAAAGUGAAAGUAGAAAGUAGAAAUCGUGUACAAGUUAACAAUAACCAUCUCGAAGUUGAAGUUAAACAUGCAAUCUGGAACUCGGUAUCACAUCUGAGUCUGACUCGCACUUCUGAAAUGGAUCAAAUCGGACUUUGUCGUCGAGACUCGGAAGAACCCAGCUGCCUAAAUUAUAAUACCAGUGGACCACAAAACAGGAAAGAUACUUGUAUGCAAGACAUGGAGAAAAGAGCAGACUACAGACUCUAUAUACCAUUCCUUGGUGCCUCCUUGAAUUGAUGUUUUUUCAGGAUAACCAUGCAGGAAUAAAGGUUAACUCAGUAUAAAGUGUUGCUGACAUGAACAUGAUUAUCACAAGAAAGUGAAUAUAUUUCAUCACCUUAAGCAAUCUUCAAAAUACCAGAUUGGAAAAAGAAAGAAGAUUUGUAGCAUUGUAUUGAAUAUGCCUGAUUAAAAGUAUUAAUGGAUGAA